rnacentral:rRNA from 1 species
UGACCUCAAAUCAGGUAGGACUACCCGCUGAACUUAAGCAUAUCAAUAAGCGGAGGAAAAGAAACUAACAAGGAUUCCCCUAGUAACUGCGAGUGAAGCGGGAAGAGCUCAAAUUUGAAAUCUGGCAGCUCUUUGAACUGUCCGAGUUGUAAUCUAGAGAAGUGUUACCUGUGCUGGACCGUGUUCAAGUCUCCUGGGAUGGAGCGUCAUAGAGGGUGAGAAUCCCGUCUUCGACACGGACUGCCUGCACGUUAUGGUGCGCUCUCAAAGAGUCGAGUUGUUUGGGAAUGCAGCUCAAAAUGGGUGGUAAAUGCCAUCUAAAGCUAAAUAUUGGCGAGAGACCGAUAGCGAACAAGUACCGUGAGGGAAAGAUGAAAAGAACUUUGGAAAGAGAGUUAAACAGUACGUGAAAUUGCUGAAAGGGAAACGCUUGAAGUCAGUCGCGUCGGCUAGAAAUCAACCUUGCUUUUGCUUGGUGUACUUUCUUGUUGAUGGGUCAGCAUCAAUUUUGACCGUUGGAUAAAGUCUUUGGGAAUGUGGCAUCUUAGGAUGUGUUAUAGCCCAUUGUCGCAUACGGCGGUUGGGAUUGAGGAACUCAGCACGCCCGCAAGGGACGGGUUUCGACCACGUUCGUGCUAGGAUG